rnacentral:rRNA from 1 species
ACACGACUACGAGUUUGAUCCCUGGCUCAGGAUGAACGCUAGCGGCAGGCCUAAUACAUGCAAGUCGAACGGAUAUAUGUUUUUCGGAAUAUAUAUUAGUGGCGCACGGGUGAGUAACACGUACAUAACUUGCCCUCAAGCGGGGGAUAGCCUUGGGAAACUGAGAGUAAUACCCCAUAGAAUUAUUGGACGGCAUCGUUUGAUAAUUAAAACUACGGUGUUUGGGGAUAGAUGUGCGUCUGAUUAGCUAGUUGGUGAGGUAACUGCUCACCAAGGCGACGAUCAGUAGGGGGCGUGAGAGCGUGGCCCCCCACACGGGUACUGAGACACGGACCCGACUCCUACGGGAGGCAGCAGUAAGGAAUAUUGGUCAAUGGAGGGAACUCUGAACCAGCCAUGCCGCGUGAAGGAUGACGGCCCUCUGGGUUGUAAACUUCUUUGGAUGGGGCGAAAAACGGGAUUUAUCCUGGACUGACGGUACCAUCAGAAUAAGCACCGGCUAACUCCGUG